rnacentral:ncRNA from 2 species
AUCGUUCAUCCCUUUAGAGAAAAUCCGUAAACCUAAGUCAGUUUCUCCGUAAGGGACGGAAGUAGGGAAUUACCCCGAAGGAACGCGCC